CAGUCGCCGCGGGAAAACGUAGGUGGCAAGCGUUGUCCGGAAUUAUUGGGCGUAAAGGGCUCGCAGGCGGUUUCUUAAGUCUGAUGUGAAAGCCCACGGCUCAACCGUGGAGGGUCAUUGGAAACUGUUAAGCUUGAGUAUAGGAGAGGAAAGUGGAAUUCCCAGUGUAGCGGUGAAAUGCGUAGAUAUUGGGAGGAAUACCGGUGGCGAAGGCGACUUUCUGGACUAAAACUGACGCUGAGGCACGAAAGUGUGGGUAGCAAACAGGAUUAGAUACCCCGGUAGUCCCUGUCUCUUAUAC
rnacentral:rRNA from 1 species